rnacentral:rRNA from 1 species
GGGUUGUGAGGUUAAGCGACUAAGCGUACACGGUGGAUGCCCUGGCAGUCAGAGGCGAUGAAGGACGUGCUAAUCUGCGAAAAGCGUCGGUAAGGUGAUAUGAACCGUUAUAACCGGCGAUGUCCGAAUGGGGAAACCCAGUGCAAUUCGUUGCACUAUCGUUAACUGAAUACAUAGGUUAACGAGGCGAACCGGGGGAACUGAAACAUCUAAGUACCCCGAGGAAAAGAAAUCAACCGAGAUUCCCCCAGUAGCGGCGAGCGAACGGGGAGCAGCCCAGAGUCUGAAUCAGCUUGUGUGUUAGUGGAACGGUCUGGAAAGUCCGACGGUACAGGGUGAUAGUCCCGUACACCAAAAUGCACAGGCUGUGAACUCGAAGAGUAGGGCGGGACACGUGGUAUCCUGUCUGAACAUGGGGAGACCACUCUCCAAGCCUAAGUACUCGUGCAUGACCGAUAGCGAAUCAGUACCGUGAGGGAAAGGUGAAAAGCACCCCGACAAGGGGAGUGAAAGAGAUCCUGAAACCGUGUACGUACAAGCAGUGGGAGCACCUUCGGGUGUGACUGCGUACCUUUUGUAUAAUGGGUCAGCGACUUAUAUUCUGUAGCAAGGUUAACCGUAUAGGGGAGCCGCAGGGAAACCGAGUCUUAACUGGGCGUUAAGUUGCAGGGUAUAGACCCGAAACCAAGUGAUCUAGCCAUGAGCAGGUUGAAGGUAAGGUAACACUUACUGGAGGACCGAACCGACUAAUGUUGAAAAAUUAGCGGAUGACUUGUGGCUGGGGGUGAAAGGCCAAUCAAACCGGGAGAUAGCUGGUUCUCCCCGAAAGCUAUUUAGGUAGCGCCUCGUGAAUUCAUCUUCGGGGGUAGAGCACUGUUUCGGCUAGGGGGUCAUCCCGACUUACCAACCCGAUGCAAACUACGAAUACCGAAGAAUGUUAUCACGGGAGACACACGGCGGGUGCUAACGUCCGUCGUGAAGAGGGAAACAACCCAGACCGCCAGCUAAGGUCCCAAAGUCAUGGUUAAGUGGGAAACGAUGUGGGAAGGCACAGACAGCCAGGAUGUUGGCUUAGAAGCAGCCAUCAUUUAAAGAAAGCGUAAUAGCUCACUGGUCGAGUCGGCCUGCGCGGAAGAUGUAACGGGGCUAAACCAUGCACCGAAGCUGCGGCAGCGACACUAUGUGUUGUUGGGUAGGGGAGCGUUCUGUAAGCCUGCGAAGGUGUGCUGUGAGGCAUGCUGGAGGUAUCAGAAGUGCGAAUGCUGACAUAAGUAACGAUAAAGCGGGUGAAAAGCCCGCUCGCCGGAAGACCAAGGGUUCCUGUCCAACGUUAAUCGGGGCAGGGUGAGUCGACCCCUAAGGCGAGGCCGAAAGGCGUAGUCGAUGGGAAACAGGUUAAUAUUCCUGUACUUGGUGUUACUGCGAAGGGGGGACGGAGAAGGCUAUGUUAGCCGGGCGACGGUUGUCCCGGUUUAAGCAUGUAGGCUGGUUAUCCAGGCAAAUCCGGAUAAUCAAGGCUGAGGUGUGAUGACGAGGCACUACGGUGCUGAAGUAACAAAUGCCCUGCUUCCAGGAAAAGCCUCUAAGCAUCAGGUAACAUUAAAUCGUACCCCAAACCGACACAGGUGGUCAGGUAGAGAAUACCAAGGCGCUUGAGAGAACUCGGGUGAAGGAACUAGGCAAAAUGGUGCCGUAACUUCGGGAGAAGGCACGCUGGUGUGUAGGUGAAGUCCCUGCGGAUGGAGCUGAGACCAGUCGAAGAUACCAGCUGGCUGCAACUGUUUAUUAAAAACACAGCACUGUGCAAACACGAAAGUGGACGUAUACGGUGUGACGCCUGCCCGGUGCCGGAAGGUUAAUUGAUGGGGUUAUCCGUAAGGAGAAGCUCUUGAUCGAAGCCCCGGUAAACGGCGGCCGUAACUAUAACGGUCCUAAGGUAGCGAAAUUCCUUGUCGGGUAAGUUCCGACCUGCACGAAUGGCGUAAUGAUGGCCAGGCUGUCUCCACCCGAGACUCAGUGAAAUUGAACUCGCUGUGAAGAUGCAGUGUACCCGCGGCAAGACGGAAAGACCCCGUGAACCUUUACUAUAGCUUGACACUGAACAUUGAGCCUUGAUGUGUAGGAUAGGUGGGAGGCUUUGAAGCGUGGACGCCAGUCUGCGUGGAGCCAACCUUGAAAUACCACCCUUUAAUGUUUGAUGUUCUAACGUUGGCCCCUUACCGGGGUUGCGGACAGUGUCUGGUGGGUAGUUUGACUGGGGCGGUCUCCUCCCAAAGCGUAACGGAGGAGCACGAAGGUUAGCUAAUCCUGGUCGGACAUCAGGAGGUUAGUGCAAUGGCAUAAGCUAGCUUGACUGCGAGCGUGACGGCGCGAGCAGGUGCGAAAGCAGGUCAUAGUGAUCCGGUGGUUCUGAAUGGAAGGGCCAUCGCUCAACGGAUAAAAGGUACUCCGGGGAUAACAGGCUGAUACCGCCCAAGAGUUCAUAUCGACGGCGGUGUUUGGCACCUCGAUGUCGGCUCAUCACAUCCUGGGGCUGAAGUAGGUCCCAAGGGUAUGGCUGUUCGCCAUUUAAAGUGGUACGCGAGCUGGGUUUAGAACGUCGUGAGACAGUUCGGUCCCUAUCUGCCGUGGGCGCUGGAGAAUUGAGGGGGGCUGCUCCUAGUACGAGAGGACCGGAGUGGACGCAUCACUGGUGUUCGGGUUGUCAUGCCAAUGGCACUGCCCGGUAGCUAAAUGCGGAAGAGAUAAGUGCUGAAAGCAUCUAAGCACGAAACUUGCCCCGAGAUGAGUUCUCCCUGAGACUUUAAGUCUCCUGAAGGAACGUUAAAGACGAUGACGUUGAUAGGCCGGGUGUGUAAGCGCAGCGAUGCGUUGAGCUAACCGGUACUAAUGAACCGUGAGGCUUAACCUUACAACGCCGAAG